rnacentral:misc_RNA from 1 species
UCCCCGUUGCCGGGGCAGUCUAGCCUGAGAAAUACAACAGACUAUAAGGGUUGCGCUCGUUGAUGGACUUAACCAAACAUCUCACGACACGAGCUGACGACGGCCAUGCAACACCUGUCACUGCGUUCCCGAGGGCACAGUAUCCUUUCGGAUGCCUUCGCAGGAUGUCAAACCUGGGUAAGGUUCUUCGCUUAUCGUCGAAUUAAACAACACGCUCCACCGCUUGUGCGGGUCCCCGUCAAUUCCUUUAUGUUUUAAGCUUGCGCUCGUACUCCACAGGCGGGAUGCUUAACGCGUUAGCUUCGCUACUACCAGGGUCGAUACUGAUAACAGCUAGCAUCCAUAGUUUACGGCGUGGACUAC